rnacentral:rRNA from 1 species
UACGGAGGGUGCAAGCGUUAUCCGGAUUUACUGGGUUUAAAGGGUGCGUAGGUGGGUCUGUAAGUCAGUGGUGAAAUCUUCAAGCUUAACUUGGAAACUGCCAUUGAUACUAUAGGUCUUGAAUUAUCUGGAGGUGAGCGGAAUAUGUCAUGUAGCGGUGAAAUGCUUAGAUAUGACAUAGAACACCUAUUGCGAAGGCAGCUUACUACGCAUAUAUUGACGCUGAGGCACGAAAGCGUGGGGAUCAAACAGG